rnacentral:lncRNA from 1 species
GGUAGCAAGGUCAGUCCCCGUGAUCCCUGCCGCAAUGCUGACAGAUCCUACCACGUCCUACCAGUGAAGCCUGAGGGGGAGCCUGGAUUACCGACCUGGGCCUCUUGUUCUGUUGGACAAACACAGUAGGUGCUGUUAUGCAGGGUGGAGCUGAGGGUCUGAGGUUCCCUGCUGCCUGAGAGAGGGUGUGGAAGCUCCUCUCCACC